GAGUGAAGACUGGCUGGGUGCGGGGCCCGGGCGUGAGGCCGUGGCGACCGGACUGUGCUGGGGGCUCAGGCUCAGGCUCAGGCAGCGAGCGCAGGCCGCGUUCUUCUCCCGCAUUUGUUUCCUUGGCUGCAGCUUCACUCAAACACACCCCGAGCCCAAGGAAACGGGGCAGGAAACACAUUGCACCCGGCAGACCCGGCCACGUAAAGUGUCCAACCUUCCCUUCAAUCCAUACUGUUUGCUGUCUAGGCAGUGCUGACAGCAUUUCCCAACCAGACACAAUGGAACAUCACCUACAGGUACCCCUCCAAGUUGACUGCUUUCCUAACUUGGAAAUAUAUCCACAUUCCUUCAUUUUCAUUGAAUAAAUCCUGGAACUCUCAAUCCUAAUGGUAUUGUGGGAGUACCUUCAUCAGACGCUCUGCAAUGGCUCAAGAAGGCUGAUCACCACUACUUUCUCUGAGUCAUUUAAGGAGGACCACAUAUAGAAUCAGAUAGUCAUGCAACAUGGAAGCAGAUUCUUUGACUUGCUUUGUAAAAUACUUAUUCAUCACUAAUCUCAUUUUCUAUGUUAUGAAGUCUCAAAAGGUCAUCAAAGUACUUUUUGAAUGCAGUCGAGGUAUCUGACUCCACAGCAAUUUAACACAUUCCAGAUUUUAGCUAGUGGGUGGAAAUAACUCCUCUAAUCUCUUCCAUAUCUCACCUUUAAUUUAGGCCAUCAGGUUGUCAGUACCCAUGGUAAGGGAAAUAUUUCUCACAUUAACCCUACUUGUAUACCUGGGGAUUUUGUUCAUCUCAAUUAAAUUCUCCCUCGACCUCUGCUCCAAAGAAAACAACGCAGUCUUCAUUCCAGGCAACUUCCUAGUCAAUCAAAAAAACAAACUGCCGGAGGAACUCUGCAGAUCAAAAACCAUCUGUGGAGGGAAAUGGACGGACAAUGUUCCGGGUCACGACCUUUCUUCAAGGCUGGAGUAGAGGGGCGAUAGCUGAUUAGAAAAAAUUGACUAGAGGAGAGGGCGUGGGGUGAGAGCUGGCAAGUGAUAGGUAGAUCCAGGUAAGGAGGGUUGAUUGGCAGAUUAAUCAGAAGAGGAUGGGUGGAGAGAGUGAGAAAAGUUGGAGGUGAUAACUGGAGCACACGAGGACCCGGCAGGCCAUGGCCAGUAGGGGGGAAGUCACAAAGCCAGUCCCUGUUCGACUGGAGACCGGAGAGAAGGGAGCUGGCGCUGGCAGACGUGAGGAAGAAGGGCGGUAGGAGUGAGAGUGCGUUCCACGCCCUUGAGGUCUGCUGUAAGAGGAACCCUGGGGCACAGAGGUGGAUGGGUGAGGAGAGGGACAUUGGUUUGUUGGAGGAUCCUGAUGCCCAAGGAGGUGACGGCUGAUGGCCCUGCAGCAGCCUGGGGCUCGCUUGGAUCAGGCACACUUAUUAGACCCAGAGUGCAUUCUGGACUUUGAAAAUGGCGGCAAAACAUGGUGCCUCUUGCAUGCAGUCUCAGCGGACUAUUUUUGCACAUUUUGCGAAUUUGGAGAAACCACGGUUCAUGCCAAAGGGUUGUAAAUUAUCCAAAUGGGAUAUGACGUGCUGUUCUUUCAUUUUGUAUGCAGCCACAUUCUGAUGGUUGAGGAUGCCCAGGACAGACAAGUUGGUAUGGGAAGGAGAAUUGAAGUGGCUGGCAAAAGGGAGCUCCAGGUGGCACUACCCUUGUUUUACCACACUCUCCCACAUUCCCAUCAACCCUAUCAUCCCUUCCUCUGUUUGUUUUUGUGACAAUAUCCCCUCAUCUUUCUCCCACCUAACUCCUUAUCUGGAUUCAUCUAUCAUUCGCCAGCUCUUGCCCCACCUCUUCUCACUUUUUUUCUAAUCAGCAAUCUCCUCUUACUUCAAUCUUGAAGAAGGGUGCCAAACCAAUCCAACUUCUAUCCAUUUCCCUCCACGCUGCCCAAAUUACUGAAUUUUUCCAGCAGUUUGUUUUUGCUCAUGUUUCCAGUAUCUGCAGUCUCUUGGCUCCAUCCUCUGUUCCCACUAAUGUAAAUUCAUCCUUCCUCAAUUGUGAGCCACUCACCACUUGAGUUAUGGACAAACUAAUGAGUUGACCAAGAUUAGUGAUGAAAUCCAGUUGUAUGCACACUGUUCCAAAACCAAAUUGCUUUGUAUGUCUAGAAGGAUAAAAUAGUGUGCAAAAGGAGUCCCUUUUACGUUUCUUUGCAAAACUCGAACUAAUAGAGAUCUCCUUAUCCAUGUCUUUUGAAGUUUUCCAUUUUGAACAUUUGAACAUUUCAGUUGAAAACCUCGAUCACUUUGCACCUUAAACUUCUAAAUCCCAAUGAAUACAAUCCUAGUUUAUGUACUCUCUUUUCAUAAUUUAACCUUUGGUGUUAUCCUAUUAAUUUGUUAAAUCUAUGCUGCUCUAACUUUGUGUAACAGGUAAAUUAGCCUUUUAGGUCAAGUCUUAUGGAAAUUAAUGAUCUAUCUGUAUAGACUAAAUUGGAAUUCUACUGCUUUUAGCUUUUUACCAUUCGGACAAUACUUUAGGCUUUUUUUGGGGACCAUAAUAGAAUAACAUUAAAAUGGAUAAGUAUUGGGAUCUGAAACCUAUGUGAAUCUCUAGCUGGAGUAUCUGUAUUGUCCUUGACCUUUUCCUUAAAUUACAGUAUAGAAAAUGUUAUACAUACCACACUGACUUGUCACUUUUGUCCAUCAACAGAUUUACCCAACUUACUAUGGAAAGUGGCUGUCAGGUUUUGUUGACAUUAAUUUUCACUAAAUCUCAAACCUGGGUGUCUGUUUCAUACAUUUUAUUUUUAUAUGUUACGUUCAACUUUAUCCAAUCAAUAUAUUACAAAUAUUCACGCAAUGUCAGGCUGCUAACUAAACUAGGCUCAUACCAAAUGUAAUUUGGCCAUCUCCCCUGUUGAUUCAAGGAUGUCUUGUGUUAAGCUAUCCUAGUUAUACAGAUGUGAGCUAGUCUGUUUUUAAUCUAUAUGAAAGUUAAAAUCCCACAUUAACAUUACUGUUGGUUACAAUAUACUUGCUUACAUUUUACUUUUUCAAUUUAGAACCAUUACCCAGGACCUAUAUACAACUCGGCUUGUACUCGCUGGAGUUUAGAAGAUUGAGGGGAUCUUAUAGAAACUUACAAAAUUCUUGAGGGGUU